GGAGCGCAAUGGAUAGCGCGUUGGACUUCUCAUCCAAAGGUCGUGAGCUCGAAUCCCGCAUUA
rnacentral:tRNA from 1 species